rnacentral:lncRNA from 1 species
GAGCCGAUACCCGACAGUUGUUUCCUUCACUGGGCAAACAGCAUGGUCACGGCUGUCACCGCGUGCCUCGGCGUUGUUCCCACGGAAGGCGGAAUGCAUUUUCUGCGAGGCGCGUCAUGGCUUUCAUCUCCGAGGAGCUCCGGCAGGGUCAGAAGCGUUGCUCUCGUUCACCGGCGCCGACUGCCAAGGCUGAAACUGGUGAUGAGGUCAUGGGCACCCGGAGGCAGCAGCCUGAGAAACACCCUAGAGACCUGUGACAUCUCGGCCCACACCCCACAUUAGACCUCAAGAUAUAUCCAAAGUCUCUUUCCCGCCCAUCUAGACAGGAAUCUUGAAAAGUUUAUUUUUGGCCAUCAAGAUUGCUGAAAUUCUUGUUGACCGAACGGGUCAAGCUGCCCUGCAUUCCAACGCUGUCCCUCCAACUCAAAGUUGGGCAGAAAAGGGUGUAAACACGUGCAGUCCAUGGUCCAGUUUAAUCAGCCACUACACAAACUUCCCACAAUGUUGACGGCUUUGCUAAACACCAAGGAACAUGAUUUAUCUUAUUUCUGAUCAUCUCUGCAACUGAACAGGAA